GCUAGGCAUGGUGUCGUGUGCCUGUGAUCCCAGCUACGCAGGAGGCUGAGGUAUGAGGGCUGCUUGAGUCCAGGAGUUUGAGGCUGCAUUGAGCUGUGAUGGCACCACUGCAUUCUAGCCUGGGCAACAGAGCAGGACCCUGUCUCUU
rnacentral:SRP_RNA from 1 species